rnacentral:rRNA from 1 species
GACGAACGCUGGCGGCGUGCUUAACACAUGCAAGUCGAACGGUGAAGGGACCAGCUUGCUGGUUCUGGCUGAGUGGCGAACGGGUGAGUAACACGUGAGUAACCUGCCCCCUUCUUCUGGAUAACCGCAUGAAAGUGUGGCUAAUACGGGAUAUUCUGGGUCUGUCGCAUGGCGGGCCCGGGAAAGAUAUUGCUUCGGUGGGGGAUGGGCUCGCGGCCUAUCAGCUUGUUGGUGGGGUGAUGGCCUACCAAGGCGGUGACGGGUAGCCGGCCUGAGAGGGUGGACGGUCACACUGGGACUGAGACACGGCCCAGACUCCUACGGGAGGCAGCAGUGGGGAAUAUUGCACAAGGGGCGCAAGCCUGAUGCAGCGACGCCGCGUGAGGGAGGGAGGCCUUCGGGUUGUAAACCUCUUUCGCCAGUGAAGCAGGCCUGCUCCGUGUGGGUGGGUUGACGGUAGCUGGAGAAGAAGCGCCGGCUAACUACGUG